AGACGCGAGGGUCGCCCGAGACUCGCCGACUGAACGAGGAGAAAGGCUGAUAUGCUGUGGUGGCCUGACACCCCUCUGUUAGCGAAGACCGAUUCCGGGAUAGCGGUGGCUUCGGGCCCAGUUUGUUUUUCCCCCCGAGAGCGAUUGUUGUCGCCGAAUCGCCGGCCGGCGUGGACGCGAAGUUAAGUGUUUGUCGUCGUCGUCAGUGGAGUGACGGCGCAUCAGCUAGAUAGACAGCGAGGCUUCCACAGCCGGUGCUGCGGCGCCGCAGGAGCAGCCUGUCCCACGUCACACGGCGAGCGUGAACAUGGCGCUGCUCGUGAUCCAGGGUACAUGCCUGACGCUCACCGUCGCUGCUCUGCUGCUGCUACUGCUGCCGCUGUCGGUCCGUGCUGAUGGCUGCCACGUCCGGGGUUUCCAAGGCGCAGGUCCCAUCGACCCAGAUGCGUGCAGGAAUGUUACGGAAAUUAUCAGAAAACAAGGGCUACCCCGUGGAAGAGCACAGGGUGACGACCAGCGACGGCUUCGUCAUCAACAUCCAGCGCAUGCCGGAUGGUCACAAGCAGCGGCACGCCAA
rnacentral:lncRNA from 1 species